AUGAAAAGUCUCUUCUUCUCUCGCGAACGGAACAACGGCGCUACCCCCCUCUUCCGUCAUCGCCGCUUCAAUCGGCCUUCAUCUUCCGCUCCGGCGAUCUCCGAUUCCAUCUCCGCCGUAAAUGCCGUCACUUCGAUUGCGCCUUCGCCGAUUAUAUCCAAUAGUUUUCCGUUUUUUGAUGAGGAUGGUACCGGUGUAACCAGCUCCGGCGAUUUCCGCCGCUCACCACCGUUAGAACGAAGACCGUUGGCCGCCGUCUUUCACGCGUUGCUCCGUCUCAGUUUUCACUUCAACAUCACCUCACCGUCGCGGAUCGUUCCGAUUCCAUCUUCGCCGUUUUCUUUUGGUAUGAAACAUGGACCGAGGCUUGGACAUAACCAGGUUGGAACGGGGCAAUCUUGGAAGAUAGUGGCUUGA